rnacentral:rRNA from 1 species
GACGGGGGGGGCAAGUGUUCUUCGGAAUGACUGGGCGUAAAGGGCACGUAGGCGGUGAAUCGGGUUGAAAGUGAAAGUCGCCAAAAAGUGGCGGAAUGCUCUCGAAACCAAUUCACUUGAGUGAGACAGAGGAGAGUGGAAUUUCGUGUGUAGGGGUGAAAUCCGUAGAUAUAGGAAGGAACACCAGUGGCGAAGGCGACCACCUGGACUGAUACUGACACUGAGGUGCGAAAGCGUGGGGAGCAAACAGG